rnacentral:lncRNA from 1 species
UUUCAGCUGAGAUGGUUCAGUUGAGCAGCCCCCUCUGGAGAUCUUGAGGUCUCCUUGAUUGCCGUGGUUCAGUGGUCCACAGCAAAGCUGCCCUUCACCCGGAACAUCCACACUCACUUCUGCCUAGAGUACCCCUGCUUCGUGGUGACUGCUUCUUGUGAAUCCCAUGUUCAGACCUACGAGCGUUUCCCUCGAAACGUAGCACGUCCCCUACAAGCUGCUCAGCAACCUCCAAGACUUCCUUGCUGUGAGGCUUGUGUGGACCACGGAACACAUACAGGCUGGAAAGCAUAUGGCCAUGCUGACAGCCCUAGUCUCCACACUCCUCAAUCACCUUAGCUUCUCCGGUCAGGGCAGCACACUUAACUUUCAGUGUGGCCUUCCAGGCCCUAAGGACAGGACCAGUCAGGACUCUUAGCUCUAGAGAGGAAAUAAAUGUCUUAGGUAGCACUAGAAAGCUGGGCACCGGGAACCCAGUCCAACCUGGGUCUGAGAAGGACUGCAUCUUCCUACCCAGCUGAGCCAGCACAGGAAACUGAAGCUCUAGUUCACUGCCAGUGUGCCCCACCCUCUGCCUGAGGCCUGGCCCCUGCCUCAAAGAGCUGCCCCAGCCUCCUGCUGUCCAAGACUUGGUGGAGAGGCACCAGGCCAGCAUGGAUCAUUCUCACUCUUCCUCCCACCCACAGCCUUCCGGGAGCCACCUCAUGAGUAAAACUAUUAAAAGCUGUAGGAGAAAAAGAAGAAGAAAAAGAACAACACUGGCUGUUCUUGCAGAGGACCUAAGUUCACCACUGAACAUUUCAAAUGGAUAAAACUGUGGGAACAGCUACAGACCACUGGAAAAGGCUCCUGCAACAACCCAUGCAACAAAGUACUCAAAAAGAGGAAAUGAGCAUCAGCUGCCCCUGGGGAACGCUGCUUGGAUGCAGACGAGAGUAUCCUCUGUCCCACACCCAUCUCGCUGCGCUGUAUCAUUGCUUUUGUAAAAACACGUAUAGAAUAAAGAUAAAAAUAAAUUAC